rnacentral:ncRNA from 1 species
GCAAUGACAAUGGGAAGCAAGGCUGUAAGGCGGAGCGAAUCCGGAAAGAUUGCCUCAGUUCGGAUUGUUCUCUGCAACUCGGGAACAUGAAGUUGAAAUCGCUAGUAAUCGCGGAUCAGCAUGCCGCGGUGAAUAUGUACCCGGGCCCUGUAUAUAUAUCCCAGGUUCAUUUGUGUA